UACGGAGGGGACUAGCGUUGUUCGGAAUUACUGGGCGUAAAGCGCACGUAGGCGGAUUUGUAAGUCAGGGGGGAAAUCCCGGGGCUCAACCUCGGAACUGCCUUUGAUACUGCAAAUCUCGAGUCCGGAAGAGGUGAGUGGAAUUCCUAGUGUAGAGGUGAAAUUCGUAGAUAUUAGGAAGAACACCAGUGGCGAAGGCGGCUCACUGGUCCGGUACUGACGCUGAGGUGCGAAAGCGUGGGGAGCAAACAGG
rnacentral:rRNA from 1 species